UCAAUUGCUAACCUCCAGCUCCCGUGUACCAGGGAAAAGGGGAUCCAUGGAGAUGAGGAACUAAGGUGGAGAUGCGGCAAGGCGGAGAAGGAGUGCGGAGGAAGGGCGGCUUCGGGCUCGUGGCGGACCGGAUCCAGCGAGGGGGAGGCCGGAUCCGUCGGCUAGCGACGCGAGGAGCUCACGGCGGAGCUCGAGCGCCAUGGGAGUUAAGUAGGAAAAGGAGAGAGCGGCGGUGUCGCGGGUACAUGCGCACACUCGCGGACGCAGGCAAACGGCUCCGGCAGGAGACGUGGCGCACGACAGCGACAACGGCUCUCCUCAGGAGGACCUUGGGCAUUGAGAGGUUGAGCUGUGCGCUGCACCAAGGACAGAGCCCACUGACUGCUCGUCAUGGGCCACCGCCACCACGCCUUCGACGGGAUCGGACCUCCACCACUCCAGCAAGCAGGAGCAUCGUGGUGGUUGCGGUCAAUUGAAAUCUUAGUUUCUUCAUCUUCUUUGAGAUUAUGUUUUGUCUGCAUCUGAUAAUUAGGAUGGCCUCCUUUCUUUCAGGUUUGUACUGUUAAUUAAGAUGAACUUGGGUGUCGAGGAUGAUUUGGAAGAUUAUAUAUCCUGACCAGAUAAAAUCAGUGCUGCCGAUCUGAGUUGAUUUUCUUUUGAUAAAGGGAGCUUUAAUAUGUUAGUUGAUUUGGAAGAUUAUUUCUCUAGACCAGAUAAAAUCAAUGCUGCUGAUUUGAGUUGAUUCGGAAGAUUAUGUCUUCAGACCAGAUAAAAUCAGUGUUGCUGAUUUUUGUUGGAGAGAAUAUGUAAGGCUAAUGUUUGAGCAGGAGAGUGACAAGAUGCAAGAGUGAUACAUCCAAGCACUUGAUUUGAGUCAAACUUGGUUUGCUGUACAGAAUUCCACCGUAUUUGUCCACACAAAUAGUUCUUCAUAUUUAGUCAAAAUUGUUUUUCUCCAUAGUUCAGUGUCUACAUCUUUAUUCUCCGAAUAUAGUCAUACUCUCCAUUUUAUAAAGUGCAAAUGUACUUCGGCCAAUUGAUUUUAGUAGUCCUCCUGUUUGUACAGUAUGGAUGAAAUUUGACCUACCAGUAUACCUAUAAAGAUAUUAAGAUUGGAUACUUAAAAAUCCUAUACGAACUUUUGUCUUCAACAUGAUUUCACAAUAUAUAGUUUUAUGACAUUUCGGUAAAUAUAUUCAAGUAAAAUAUUGGUGGUUAAAGCCGGAUUAUGGAGAUCUUACCAAAACAAACAACUACUAGGAACUAGAUCAAUGUGUAUUUGCAAGUCAAGCUCAGCUUAUAGUGAUUGUGAAGUGAGAUUGAAUGCAUUUUGGCGAUGAAAUCACGUAGGAUCAAAGCGGAGGUGCCUACUUUCUACCAAGAAAUUGCAUCUUCAUCAAAUGUUUAUGUCUUCCUUUCUUCCUUGACAAUAUGAAUCUGAAUACUACUUUCUUUUCCUGGAUGUAGUUUCCACUAUAGUAUAUAGCUACCUUCCAUGUCUUUUGUGAACCCAGUUUGUAGUGUGCCACUCUGAAGCUGAAUUCUUCUUGUGUACCCAGUUUGUAGUGUGCCACUCUGAAGCUGAAUUCUUCCUGGGUGUAUCAUGCACCUGUGUCUUCUUGUUGUAUAUUCUCAAGUCUCAACUGCAGAUUCUCAAAGGCUUUGGACACCACUUGGACCUACAACAAAGAUUUGGACUAUUUAAUUUAGUGACAUUGAUCAUAGCCGCCUGCUGGUUUUCUUCACUCCCCAGCUCUAGAUUUUGGCGUACACGGUACACCGUGACAAUUCUAUCUUGGUUCUAGACAAAUAGGUUGCAUGUUCUUCUAUUAUCAUGAGUAUCAUGUUCCCACUUGCAGCUCGGUUAUUAAGUUAAAGCUAAAGUCCUGAUUGUACUGUCUAGAGGUGGAAUGGCUAAGCUCUCUUUAUGAUCCUUUCUGCCGAAUAUCUUGCAAAUGCCACACUAAAGUGCAGGAAAUUAUUAGGUGUGUGGGUAUCAGUCCACUAUGUUCUUAUGUCGAUGGAUCCGGGAAAUGUUGACACUUUUUGGUUUUGGUCACAAAAAUGUUUGUAUAGGAUAUCAUCUUGAAUAUAUGUAUUUCUAAAGUAAUACUACUUCCUAGUUAGUUAAUUGAAGUAUUGAUACAAUCAAUUGGAUGUUUUUCUAUAGUUAUGGAUCUAGCGGAAAAAUUGUUGUUUUCA